rnacentral:lncRNA from 1 species
CACGGGGUCGCGGGACGCGGCUGGUUCUUUGAGUUUUCCAAACCAUACAUCAUUGUCAAGCGAGAAGAUUAAACUUAUUGUUUCUUUCUUGAACCCGCAACUCAAGGUAUGUGAGUCCAAGAUAGAUGACUCGGAACCGACACUUCUGCGGGCAGCAGGGCUUGCUGUCAGGGGAGGCGCAGGUCUGCUGAUCAAGGCUGUCUGCACGGAGCUGUGAAG